UCCAGAUUAUUUUACCCUUUUACCCCUUAUCUGAACCCUUGCAUUUCCCCUGACAUUACCAAAUUAUUCCGUCGAUGAACUUCUGGUGAUUCCUUGUAUCCCACUUUACAUCAUGUUGACCUUAGUAUGCUUUUACCACACUGUGCUUUGCAAUUUGGAAACUGAUAGUGAGCUUUGAAAUCCUUUCUUAUUUGUUUAGAACAAGACUUACAUUGAAACGU
rnacentral:lncRNA from 1 species